AUGCAAUAUAAAAAAUUAAAAUGUAGCCUACUUUAUUAAUCUGCACUUUUGAACACAGACUAGUGUUAUUUUAGUGUUAUUUACUAUAUGUAGCCCCGCCCCUUUUCAGCGCUGCGCUCGUUGUGUUCCGUCUUCCGGUCUGCAUUUCCACCGCAUGAAGCCUUCUGAGCACGUGCCAGUGUUGCCAUUGGCAACCACAACUAAACAGAUGCGGCAAGUGGGAACACAACACCUGGACCUCAUUUCUGAUUAUCAAAGGAGGAUGCAAAGGGAGCCAUGACUUCAGAAGUUCUCAAAUCCACAUCAUUUUUAAUAUAGUAUGGUUGGAGAGAGAACAGGAAGUGAAGUGGGAGAGAGAGGGGGCCAGGAUCGGGAAAGGACCACAAGCCGCGAC